AUCCCUUCUAGGCCUCUUAGCUAAGAUCAGGUGUAG
rnacentral:snRNA from 1 species